GUGGUGGGCGUGGACAAGGCACCAACACGCACUUGUGUAUUCACGUUAACAAAAAUAUAUAUAAUCAAAGGCAACGUGUAUAAUAUUUUCGCGUGUGUACGGUAACAGCGGAACUCUCCAGGAAAGGGAGACGCGAAUAUUCCGUUGUUUGUAAACACGCAGCGCCUGCCGAUGACGAUUUGUCUGCUGUAGUGCCAAGUAGUAAGAAAAGGGGCAGCGACGAUCAGAGAAAGGGCAACUGGACAAAGCCAGGGGAUGUCAUCCUCGUGGAGGAAGUCACUGAGAAUUAAGGAAGGUCUCCUCUUCGGCCGUUUGGACGGUUGCCAAAGAACCAGUGUGAAGAAAAACCAAAGCCAUAGUGGAAAUCACCGAUCUACUCAACUCAAGGGUUCCAUCUGGACUGAGAAUGCGGAGUGAAAUAAAGACAAAGUUUCAAAAUAUCAAACAGAAAGACUCCUUGAAUAUCUCUGAAAUUGCUGAAGCCCAACAUGAUGGAGCAACAAGCACUCAAGUUGAUCUAAAUUCAGCUGAGGACAUCACUGACAUCACUGAUCUGGACCCAACCAUGCUUUCAAAUUCUUUUUUGGAGGUUUGAACCAGCUGCACAUGUAAAAGCAUCAACUGAAGAAGAAAUACUAGAGAAGAACUAGAGAGAAUUAAGGAUUCUAGACAACUGAUUAAGGAACAAAUAAGAGUAGCUGAACUGCAGCAAAAAAUAACAAUUUUAAAAAUUUGAAAUAUCGAACCAACUUUCAACUUUCAACAUGGAAUAACAUGCAACAUCAACUCUGAGUAAUGAUUUUUUUAAAUAUUUGUUAUUUGUGCAUGGACUGACUGAGUUUGGUUUUACGCCACUUUUAGCAAUAUUCCAGCAAUAUCACGGCGGGGGACACCAGAAAUGGGCUUUACUCAUUGUACCAGUGUGGGGAUUCGAACCCGGGUCUUUGGUGUGACGAGCCAACGCUUUAACCACUAGCCUACCCCACCGCCCCUUGUGCAUGGAGAUGUACAGAGUCAUAAUUGACUGUAAACUUCUGACAAAGUAACUGGGUAUGAAUGAACUAUGGUUGGACUGUUAUAGUAAUCGUAUAUUUUAAAUAUUAGUAAAAUGGUGACUGGAUAUCAUACAAACUGCUCUUUGGAAAAUGAACAUUUUCAUGGCAAAUGAGAAAUUCAUGUUUUAUACAAAUUUAUAACAUUCUUCCUAUAGAAGACAUGUUAUCAUUACAAUAAAAGAAUUGGACUCAAA